UACAGAGGUCUCAAGCGUUGUUCGGAUUCAUUGGGCGUAAAGGGUGCGUAGGUGGCGUGGUAAGUCGGGUGUGAAAUUUCGGAGCUUAACUCCGAAACUGCACUUGAUACUGCUCUGCUUGAGGACUGGAGAGGAGACUGGAAUUCACGGUGUAGCAGUGAAAUGCGUAGAUAUCGUGAGGAAGACCAGUGGCGAAGGCGGGUCUCUGGACAGUUCCUGACGCUGAGGCGCGAAGGCCAGGGGAGCAAACGGG
rnacentral:rRNA from 1 species